CACGUAGGGCGCAAGCGUUGUCCGGAAUUAUUGGGCGUAAAGAGCUCGUAGGCGGUCUGUUGCGUCCGCUGUGAAAGUCCAGGGCUCAACCCUGGAAAGCCGGUGGAAACUGUCAAGCUUGAGUCCGGAAGAGGCGAGUGGAAUUCCUGGUGUAGCGGUGAAAUGCGCAGAUAUCAGGAGGAACACCAAUGGCGAAGGCAGCUCGCUGGGACGGUACUGACGCUGAGACGCGAAAGCGUGGGGAGCAAACAGG
rnacentral:rRNA from 1 species